rnacentral:RNase_P_RNA from 1 species
UCGGUCUGCCGCUGGCGCUUUCGGGCGCGAGAGGAAAGUCCGGGCAACAUAGGGCAUCCUGCUUCUUAAUGUGGAAGUUAUCCGCGAGGGUAAAGUAGCGCAGAAGAAAAUAACCGCCACGCCUGAGGUGUGGUAAGGGUGAGAAGGUGGGGCAAGAGCCCACCAGACAGGUGGCGACACCUUGUGCUGUGCGCCUCAGGAGUUGCAAGUUCAUGUAUACCAGAGUUUGAGGGCGGCCCGUCUAAUCUGGAGGGUAGAAUGCUAGAGGGCGGUGGUGACACCGUCAGUGGAUAAAUGGCAGACGGUCUGAAAAGACUACAGAACCCGGCUUAUAGAUUCUCUG